AUUGAACGCUGGCGGAAUGCUUUACACAUGCAAGUCGAGCGGCAGCGCGGGGCAACCUGGCGGCGAGCGGCGAACGGGUGAGUAAUGCAUCGGAACAUGUCCAUGUCGUGGGGGAUAGCCCGGCGAAAGCCGGAUUAAUACCGCAUACGCCCGAGAGGGGAAAGUGGGGGACCGCAAGGCCUCACGCGAUUGGGUUGGCCGAUGUCCGAUUAGCUAGUUGGUGAGGUAAAGGCUUACCAAGGCGAUGAUCGGUAGCUGGUCUGAGAGGAUGAUCAGCCACACUGGGACUGAGACACGGCCCAGACUCCUACGGGAGGCAGCAGUGGGGAAUUUUGGACAAUGGGGGCAACCCUGAUCCAGCCAUUCCGCGUGAGUGAAGAAGGCCUUCGGGUUGUAAAGCUCUUUUGUCCGGAGCGAAACGGUGUCGGUGAAUAUCCGACGCUACUGACGGUACCGGAAGAAUAAGCACCGGCUAACUACGUGCCAGCCGCCGCGGUAAAAC
rnacentral:rRNA from 1 species